rnacentral:lncRNA from 1 species
UUGGGUGCUUGAUGCUGAAAUUCAUCUUGAUGCAAUGGAUCUGGCAGACACCAUCAAGGAUAAAAAUCAGGAAUCAAACCAAGACUGUGCCAAAGCAAUAAUAUUCAUAUGUCAUCACCUUGAAGAGGGUCUGAAAAUGGAAUAUCUCACUAUUAAAGAUCCAGUCAUACUGUGAAAUAAUUUGAAAGAUAAAUAUGGUCACUUGAAGAUGGUCGUUCUUCCACAGGCACGUUAUGAUUGGACUCAUCUAAGGCUACAAGAUUUUAAAUCUAUAAGUGAAUAUAAUUCUGCUAUGUUCAGAAUUAUUUCCCAAUUGAAAUUAUGUGGUGAUAAUAUUACUAAUCAUGAUAGGUUGGAGAAAACUUUCACCACUUUUCAUGCCUCGAAUAUGAUCCUGCAGCAGCAAUAUCGAGAGAUGGGAUUUAAAAAGUAUUCUGAACUUAUCUCACAUCUUCUUAUAGCCGAGCAACAUAAUAGGCUCUUAAUGAAAAACCAUGAAACGCCUACUGGUUCUUGUCCAUUCCCUGAAGUGAAUACGACGAACUUCCACCAAGCUAGAUGUGGAAGAGGUCGUGGCCUCAGUCGUGGUCAUGGCCGUGGUCGGGGAAGAAAUUUUAAUCAUGGUAAUAAUAAUGCACCAAAUAACCCUCCUCACCACCAGCAGUGGAAAAGGAAGGAAUAAAAGCAUGAAGCGGUGCAAGCACCAAAUGCAGAAAAUGCAUGUUAUAGAUGUCGAGGAAAAUGGCACUGGUCACGUACCUGUCGUACGCCAAAGCACAUGCUUGAGCUUUAUCAAGCCUCCCUGAAGAAGACAGAGAAAAAUGCUGAAGCAAAUUUUAUUUCUGAAGAUAAUUUAGACUUCAUGCAUUUGGAUGUAGUUGAUUACCUUGCACUCCCAGAAGGAGAAACAAGUCAUGUAAUCGGUGGUGAAUCUGUAGAAAUGUAAAUAUUUUAUUUUUGUUGUUUGUAAUAGAUAGUAUGAUUAUGUAAUUAUUGUACGUAAAGAAAAAUUAUGAUUUGAUAAUGAUGUUUACUAUAAUAUAUCUUAUUUAUGUCAUUUUGAAGAAUAUGGAUAACAUUAUUAGAUCAAUUUAAACUCUAGCAGAGUUUGCAAGAAAUAUACAACCACCAGAAGUGGUUAUAUUUCGUAUAUCUCAUUGUAAUUAUAUUUUGUUAACCACCAGAAGUGGUAUAUGCCUAUGAUCACCAGAAGUGAUAAUUUAGGCUUUCUAUGGUUCCAAUUGAAGAUAAGCUACAUAAAUAUUCUCUAUAUUAAAUGCACGCCUCGAUUUGCUCCUGAAGUAGUAAAUAUUUUAAAAGAGUUUGAGGCAUCACAAUUUGAUGUGAUUAAUGCGCAUUUAGAUAAUUAUGUUCGAUUUCCUGAAGGAUGAGAACUUUUGAUAAUAUUAAUCCAUUCCCUGAAGUGAAUGUGACAAUAUUAAUAAAUCUGGUAAAUAUGAACGUGCUCUUGAUGUGAAUAUAUUACAAUUCACCUCCAGAAGAGGUAAUAUAAUUGAGAGAAUAUAUACUCAAUAUUUCGUACUUUUAAAUUUGCUCCUGAAGAAGUAACACAAUUGAAAUUGCCUCCUAAAGUAUGAAAAUAUUAUGAAGAAGAGUUUUCUUGUGCUUAAAUAAUUGUUUUACACUGUUUAUUUGAUUGUGAUUUUCUCUCAUGAUACCAGAAGUGUGUGAGCAAUAUUUGAUAGUACAAAAUGUAUCAAACUUCUGAAGAGCUAACUAUUUGCCUAGAAGACACAUGACGCCAGUAGUGUCCGAUAAAUAUUAGAUUGUGGAUAAUAAAUGAAGGUUCUUGAAGAUCUUAUAUACAAAUAUGUCAUUCAUAUUAUAUGAUUAUGGUCAAAACAUAUGUUGUAGUAACCCUGAAUUUUACUAAUACAAGUGGCUAUCAUAUUGAUACUACAAAUGAUUGGAAGAUUGAAAAUCUUUAUGUUUCCACAAUCAUAGGGGGUAAAAUAAUAUGUAUGUGAGAAGUUACCCGCCUUAUUCUUCAAUUUGUACUACAUCAUGUAUCAUAGUAAAUCAGAAGUUUACUAAUGCAAAGGUUUAUGCCAUAGUAAAUUAGAAGUUUACUAAGAGAUAGCACAUGCUAUGAUAAACUUGAAGUUUUCAUUUGCCAUUUUUAAAUGAGUUAUUUGAGAAUUCUGAUAAGCAUAUACUGAAGAACCAGAAGAUUCUUCAAGAAUUCUCUUGUGCUGCUUGUUCUCAUAAUAUUAUACCGCCUAAAGUUGAGACUAAGACCCCUGAAUUCUGGAAUAUAUAAAAGGUAAAUAUGGGCACAUUCACCUAUCACGUGAACCACUUAUAGAUGCAUAUAUAAGAUGGUUACAUGUAUAUUUAUUGUCAACCUGCAGUUUGGCAUUUGAGAUUGAUUUUUUCAAUUAAGAGCAUAAAUUUCAGAUUAUGAAAUCAAGACAGUUCAUCUUGAUAAUGCUGGUUUAUAUCCAAGCUGGUUUAGCAUUGAAUACCUCCUACUAAUGGCUAAACUAUUGCUUAUGAGAACAAAAUUUCAUGUGUUGGUCUAAGAUAUUCUAAAUUGCAUACAACAGCACUUGUAUGCAGCAGACUAACAAUAUAUGAUAAAGUCCUCCCCUAACAAUUGGUUUAGGAUCAGAAAUUAAAUAUUUUUACUAUCUUUUGAUGUGUGGUAUAUGAUUAAUUUCUUUACCAAAUACACAAAGAUAUAUUUCUCAAAGAACAUUUGGGGGAUGGAAUAAACAGCUGAAAAAUAUGUUAUAUGAAUCAAAUUAUCAUUAGUAUGAUCCUCACUCAAAAGAUAAUUCAAAUCAAAUUCCAGAAGCAUUUGUUGAUCUAAAAUUAAAUAUCAUAUUUCAGCUGCAAAUGCUCCUAUUAAAAUUAAAGACCUUUGUACGGUUUAAAGCAAUCAGUGUGCGUGUGGUAUAAUCGCCUCAGUAAAUAUUUGCUGAAAGAAGAUUACAUAAAUGAUGUUAUUUGUCCAUGUAUUUUUAUAAAGAAAAUGUCAUCCGAAUUUGUUAUACUUGCUGUUUAUGUCAUCCGAAAAUGUCAUCUGAAUUUGUUAUACUUGCUGUUUACAUAAAAUUUGUUGGAAAUCCAGAAGAGCUUCAAAAGGCAAUUGAAUAUCUUAAGAAAGAAUUUGAGAUGAAAGAUCUUGGAAAAAUAAAAAUUUGUCUGCAAAUUGAAUAUCUAGCAGACGAAAUCUUUAUCCAUCAAUUUGCCUAUACAGAAAGGGUCUUUAAACACCUUUUUAUGGACAAAGCGCACCCAUUAAGUACAUCAAUGGGUGUUCGAUCAUUUGAAGUGAAUAAGGAUCCAUUCCGACCUCCAGAAGAGAAUGAGGAACUCUUUUGUCAUGAAAUACUCUAUCUCAGUGCAAUUGUUAUGUAUUAAUGUAUCUUGCUAAUGCUAACAAAGGUGGUGCAAAUCGUAUUGGUUAUACAGAUACAAGAUUAGAAUGAGGAGACUCAAAUAUUUUAAACAAGGUUUUCAUCAGGGGGAGUAAAAUAUGCGAUGCACUCUUUUUUCCUUACUAAGGUUUUUUUGCCACAAGGUUUUCCUUAUAAGGUUUUUAAUGAGGCACCUAGCAAUGCGUAUUACUAAAUAUAUGUACUCUUUUCCUUUAAUAGGAUUUUUUCCCACGUGGUUUUUUUUAGUAAGGUUUUAAUGAGGUACAUUAUCUUUUAAUGAACAUCCAAGGGGGAGUGUUAUAAAUAUAUUAUAUUAUGGAUGUUCAUUUAGUACUCCGUUGUAAAUAAGCUUCCUGAAGAAGCUUAUCCAUAUGGGACUCCGCCGCAAAUAUAUUUAUCUAUUUAGUACUCUAUUGGAAAUAAGCUUUCGGAAGAAUCUUAUCACUUCGGUACCCGAUUAUGGAUAAACAUUACUCCCGAUAGAAGAUUAUCUAUACCUGAUACAAUGAGCUUAUCCUUUCAGUACUCCGUUAUGAAUAAUCAUUACCCCUAAUAGAAGAUUAUCUAUACUGAGUAUAAUGAUCUUAUCCAUUCAGUACUCCGUUAUGGAUAAACAUUGCUCUCAGUAGAAGAUUAUCCAUAUCAGGUAUAGUAGCAGCUUACACAGCAGCUUGUAGUAGCAGCUUGCAGUAGCAGCUUACACAUCAGCUUCCUUUAUUCUAUAAAUAGAAGAGAUUUCAGUUCAUUAUGUACAUCAGUUUGAAUUCGAAUAAUAUAUCAGUUUCUCUUUAUACUUAUCUUUACUUUACAGUCUUUAUUUUAUAACAGCGUCAACUUUUUAAGACUGUCCAAUCAUUUUAACUUGGUAGCUAAUUUAAUCCAAGUGGACCAAGUAGAAAAUAAUUUUUGAUUAUGUUGUAAGAUUUUACCUAUAAAUAGAGACCACUUCCUUGUCAUUUUUCCUCAAACUUGUGUCAACUCUUCUUGAGUAUUGUAAGAAAUAUAGAGAGAAAGUUGUGAGAAAUAGAGAAGAAAAUGUUGGGCGUAAUAAUUGUGUAAAUUUUCUCUUGGACUGAAUUUGUGAGGUAUUUGCUUGUGUAUUUUCUAGGUAAAUUAGAAUUGUAUCUGUUUGACUCAAAAAAUAUCGGAACCUUUUUGAAUAAAUCAAUCGAAGAAAAUGAAGGGAUAAAUCUUAGUCAAACAUAAUAAAUUCCAGAUCAAUGACAUUAUGACACAUGUUCCUGGGAACUAAAAUGUUUCGUGCCCUAUCAGAUUCGAUUGGCGACUCUUGGGCUUCGUGCUUGGGGGAUUUAUGUCUCUUAUAAAUAGAAGGAACUCAUCAUUCGAUUGGCACACUUCUUUGCCUUUUACUUUGAAAGAAUUCUGCAGAUAUACUUUCUCUUUGACACUCCGAGUUUUUUGUUUGCCCUCAGUUAACUGAAAAUUUUCGGCAUUUCUUUCCGUUGUCUUUUUGCCGCAUCAUCUGGAUGAAAUGGCUGGUGAUUCCUCUUGCACUGAUCUCUCUAUCAUAAUUCCGGCACCAAAGAAUGUUGCUCAGGCCACUAGAAGGGCAGAAGCGGUGGAAGACGAGGAGGUCCCAUCGGUAGUUGAGAUUUUGCCUCGCCCUGGAAGAGAAUUGACUGACUUCAGAAGUCGCGCCGGGGCGGAGCUGGAGCCUGUCCCUUCUAUUAUGAGAAGAGAAGACAUUGCAGAGUUGAAAGCCAGGUGGGGGAUCCCGGUUACGUCGACAUGCGACCGACAAUAGAAAAUGACAUCAUUUUGAUCGUCCUGGAUACUGUGUAUUUUAUGCCUACCCCUUUCUUAUUGGAUACACACUUCCUCUUCCUCUCCUGGUGGUAGACUUCUGCCAUUUUUAUGAGGUAUGCCCCGCCUAACUUUUGUCGUACCUGUACAAGUUGUUCCUUAUGUUGCUCAAGUUUGCGGAACUUGCCGGUCGUGAGAUCACCUUGGAUCACAUGCUCAAUAUCUUCGCCCCUCAGCUUAUCCGCAGCACGAUGCUUCACAUGCAUCCUCGGGGGUCGAAGAGUCUGGUGAUGAAAAUGGACGAUAGGGCUAACCGUCAUUUCUAUGAGAAUUAUUUCUAUGUACGGACUGAGCACAUUGUGGCGGAUCCGACGGGGUUCCCUGAGAAGUGAAACUUUGCACGUAAGUUUCUUAUGCUUUUAGUCAGAGAUGUAUCCGACCAUUUUCCGUUAUAGUCCUAAACCCUAUUAUGUCUCUGCAGUCGAGAAAUUGCCUCAUCCAUCUGUCGAAGGUAUCCGUGAGUGGGUGAGCGCCAUCCUUCCCCAUACGGCGGGGGUUCGCACCUGGUCGGCCUUUUAUGAAAUAUUUGGACACAGGCCCUUUACAGGUAAGAUGUCGCUUCUGUUUGUUAUUUUUCCUCUCUUUUUACUUAGUUUCUUAUAUGAUGUUUGUCGAUGCCAGGGAGAGUGCGGAGAGCGAGGGCUCCUCUAUUGGCUUUCGUCAGCCGACAUUGUCUGCUCGUUGUCACACCUCCUUUUUACCUACACCCCUCGGAAGGGUGUAUAAGGGAGUUUUUCCAAUUUAAGUGACAAUCAAAACGAGAUUAUUUAUUUAAAAAUUCAGAGUCGCCACUUGGGAUAAUUUAUGUUGUCCCAAGUCACCGGUUUCAAAUCCCGAAUCGAGGAAAGAUUGACUCUAUUUUACAGUCCGCGAACACAGAAAUCCAGGUAAGGAAUUAUGUUAACCCGGGAGAAGGUGUUAGGCAUUCCCGGGUUCCGUGGUUCUAGCACGGUCGCUCAACUGUUAUAAUUGGCCUAUUAUCUGAUUUUAACACAUGUUUUAGCCUAUGGUUUAAUUUUAACUUUAUAACUGCUUUUAUUUAAUUAUUUUUUUAGGAAAUAUUCAACGUCAUCUAAAUCGCGUCUUGAACCACGUCACAUAAAUGCACCCACGGUCCACGACACAUUUUAUCUAAUAUUGUUGAGAUUUGGAUUUGGGUCACAUAAAUGCACACCCGAGUUUAGGAAAGUAAUUUAAAUUACGCGCCUAAAGCAACUACACCUUUCAAAAUUGUUCGUUUCCUAUGUUUGAGAUUGUCGUAAGGCCAUGAAUUAUGGAAAAGACAUUAUUGGAAAAAGUGUAAUUUUAAGUAAUGGGAUUAUUAGUUGGCAAAGCUAUGGUAUCUAAAGGAAAUGAAUACCUCAUAAAUAACGACACAAAAAAUAGAUUUUUACAAGACAAGAUAGUGAGCAAGUAACACCAGUCACGACCAAGCCUAAACACAAGGAAACAAUAAGAAAUUUCGGAGCCCAAUUCAUGAUAAUUAGAGACUAAAACCCACAGCCCAAACUUAGUCAAAUUCAAACUGUUCUAAUUAAAUUUAUCCAACCCUCAUAGCCCAUUAACGCUACAAUCAGCUUAAACCCCACAACCUUUUAAUUUCUAACAAACAACACAUGAACCAUUAUCACUAAUCCCUUCACUUCAUGAUUCAAUUAACACUUUGCAAUUUUAAUGAUCAACAUGAAGAUAUAGUAAAUGAACAUGAGACAACAUUAAGCAAAAUGAUGCACCAAACAGUAUGCUAUUUCAAACCAACAAUGGUAUGAAAUGAGCUCAAGCCAACAACUUAAGCACAAGCAAUAUAUAUCAAACAAAUCAUAAACAAAUAAAGAUCGGACCUUAAUUGCUGAAAAUCUCCCGACAUGUACAUCGCAAAAGAACAUCCAAAAAACAGCAGUCCUCAAGCAAGCUACGGACCAAAAACUCAAACCGGAAUCGCAACGGCGAACGACUCAACUCGACCAGAUUUGGAUGGUGAUUUCGGAACUGUUUGCAGCACGUUUUGUUGCUGGUUCGAUGGCAGUUUUUGGGCAGUAAAAAGGCAUGUAACAAGAGAUUCACAAAAUUCAAUCUUUACCCACCUUAGCUACUUUAAACGCGGAGCUUCAUUGGAACAUGUCGAAACUCGCACAAGCUGAAGUAGCUCACGCAGGCGCAAUGGCGGCGUCAAGAUCAGUGAAAAUUAACAAUGAAGAUUAUUAUAGA